rnacentral:lncRNA from 1 species
AACUUGAGCUAUAGCAAUGGAACAGUAACAUCCACUGUUAAGGGUAUAGAUAUCUGUCUGGAUCCUGUACUUUUGGGAGAGAUUCUUCAUUUGCCCUGUGAGGGAUACUCAAACAUGGAACUCCUAGUUAAGGAAGAAGAAAUUAAUGUGAUUUUAGGAGGAACCUUCUCAGAAAGUCUAAAUAAACUAGAGGCCAAGAUCCUGUCCAUUG